GCGAAUGCUGACAUGAGUAACGACAAUGGGUGUGAAAAACACCCACGCCGAAAGACCAAGGGUUCCUGCGCAACGUUAAUCGACGCAGGGUUAGUCGGUUCCUAAGGCGAGGCUGAAAAGCGUAGUCGAUGGGAAACAGGUUAAUAUUCCUGUACUUCUGGUUACUGCGAUGGAGGGACGGAGAAGGCUAGGCCAGCUUGGCGUUGGUUGUCCAAGUUUAAGGUGGUAGGCUGAAAUCUUAGGUAAAUCCGGGGUUUCAAGGCCGAGAGCUGAUGACGAGUCGUCUUUUAGAUGACGAAGUGGUUGAUGCCAUGCUUCCAAGAAAAGCUUCUAAGCUUCAGGUAACCAGGAACCGUACCCCAAACCGACACAGGUGGUCGGGUAGAGAAUACCAAGGCGCUUGAGAGAACUCGGGUGAAGGAACUAGGCAAAAUGGCACCGUAACUUCGGGAGAAGGUGCGCCGGCUAGGGUGAAGGAUUUACUCCGUAAGCUCUGGCUGGUCGAAGAUACCAGGCCGCUGCGACUGUUUAUUAAAAACACAGCACUCUGCAAACACGAAAGUGGACGUAUAGGGUGUGACGCCUGCCCGGUGCCGGAAGGUUAAUUGAUGGGGUUAGCGCAAGCGAAGCUCUUGAUCGAAGCCCCGGUAAACGGCGGCCGUAACUAUAACGGUCCUAAGGUAGCGAAAUUCCUUGUCGGGUAAGUUCCGACCUGCACGAAUGGCGUAACGAUGGCGGCGCUGUCUCCACCCGAGACUCAGUGAAAUUGAAAUCGCUGUGAAGAUGCAGUGUAUCCGCGGCUAGACGGAAAGACCCCGUGAACCUUUACUGUAGCUUUGCACUGGACUUUGAGCCUGCUUGUGUAGGAUAGGUGGGAGGCUUUGAAGCGUGGACGCCAGUUCGCGUGGAGCCAUCCUUGAAAUACCACCCUGGCAUGCUU
rnacentral:rRNA from 1 species